AGCAGUAGCCACGGUAAUACGGAGGGUGCAAGCGUUAUCCGGAUUUAUUGGGUUUAAAGGGUCCGUAGGCUGAUCUGUAAGUCAGUGGUGAAAUCUCACAGCUUAACUGUGAAACUGCCAUUGAUACUGCAGGUCUUGAGUAAAUUUGAAGUGGCUGGAAUAAGUAGUGUAGCGGUGAAAUGCAUAGAUAUUACUUAGAACACCAAUUGCGAAGGCAGGUCACUAAGAUUUAACUGACGCUGAUGGACGAAAGCGUGGGGAGCAAACAGGAUUAGAUACCCCUGUAGUCCCUGUCUCUUAUAC
rnacentral:rRNA from 1 species